GAGUUUGGAUGGAGGCCAAAUAACCAAGUUAGACCCAGGUGAGCAGUCUGAAUCUCUCAAACUUGGAAUCCAGGUGUAGGCCUCAAGCUCUGCUCCUGGUGGGAGCUUUGGCUGAAUCGGUGUUGUUAUGCGAAGGCAGAGGCUGCUCUUUCCUCCACAGCCUUCUCUCAAUGGUUCCUUCUCUCUCCCUCCUGCUUUGUCAAUGUUUUAAACUCUCCCUUCCCAUUCUUCCUCUCUCCUCAGAAACUCCUCCACCUCUCGCUCAAUCCCCUCAGAGUCUCCUCAGCCAGAACCUUUGUGGCAUAUCCUAAGGGUCAAAAAAGGGCUGUGCUCAAUGCACCCUUCUGUAACUGCAUCUCGCUGCCUAAAAUCAUUCCUGGGGCUGUCUUUGCUUUCUGCUCCUUCCUUUUUAUCUGACUUCAGACCUUGGCCUGGACCCUGAACUUCAGGAAUAUGUUAUCUUUGAUUGGAAUCAUCACUGAAUAUAAUCAGCUUGGAGAUAAACCUGUUGGAUAAAACUGAAACAUACAAGACGGAGCAAAAUGGGUGCCAAAGCAAAUCUUACAAGAAGCCAAGAGGAAAUCAGUUCCAUGCAACUCAGACCAACUGGCUUUCCCCUCAAGAGACAAAAAUCCAUGUUCUUUAAUAACGGAAUGUAAGGAAGAUUUAUUGACUACUCGGAGCUUCCUUUUGAGCAGCCAGUUCAACAAUGACUCAUUUAUGAAGAAUCUUCUUUCACAGAGUGGAGUGUGCUAUGCUGUGCAUCUAUGUAGAGGUGCCACCAGUCACUUUUGCUGCAAGACACUUUGUCGCUACCCCUUUUGGAAAUGGUUACAUAUCUGUGCAGAAAUCAUAUGAAGGCGCCAUCAUGCAGUGGUUUGGAGAAGAUUGCAUGCUGCUGCAAACUACCCUAAACAGAAGUAGCAUGGGCAUCUAAAUGUGAUGAAACCAGGAUGUCAUCAGAUAAUGAUGGGCCGAGAACCAAUUCUUGCAAAAGAGCUGGGGUAAGUUGUCUUUCCACAUGCCAUUUUAUAAAUAAGCUCUAUGAGAGCCGCUGUAACGUGCUCCUGUAUCCUGCAUCAGGCUAGUUCUUGGGACUUGUUUACAUCCUGCAUCACACUUGUGAGCUGUUGUGUCCCCUAUUCAUCCAAAGGGAUAGCUUGCAUUUUCUUCCCUAGCUCCCCCCUUCUUUCUCAUGCCUACAUACACAGAGAAUAAAAACUGCUUUGAGAGAAAAUGUCAUACAACUGCAGUGUAUGAAAGGUCAUUACAUGAAUUACAAAUCAGCUUAUGCUGAAUUUUCCACUUUUAAGUGCUGGCAAGGAAGUUCAUCUUCUUUCCUUUUCUUUCUUUGCACUCUAUUACGGUGCUUUUUUGCCCAUUCUGCAAAGAAUGGGCAGCGGAUUCCUUCUUGGACUCAUAUAUAUGAGUGCAUUUUGGUGCUUCUUAUGAAACUAGCACAAACUGGUA